AAGUUUUCCAGUGGCUCCAUAAUAUGUGAUAUCACAACAGAUUGAAUACAGAAACAGGUGCUGCACCUGUUCUAGGCAUUGAAUUUGAAACCUGUCUUUGCCACAUAUAACUAUAAAAUAUUUGGAAGAUUGCCUUCUAUAUGUGCUUAUACUCCAAGAUGGAAGAUUACCAAUAACAAAUGAAGCAUCCAUUAACUUCGAAUGAUCAGAUGCUAGGGAGUGAGGAAUUUUCAGGCCAAAAUGCACUGGGUUAUUGUCUCCUAUUGACAGUGUGAUAUUACAGAUAACCUCUAGGAGAUCCUGAACAUAUUCAGGCUAAACCAGGCAAACAAACAUUCAGGAUGUUACCAGUGUGGAAAACCCCUAGGAGAGACAGCCAAAAUUAAGACUGAUGGAGAAAUUUCCCCCAGCAAUACCACUUAAAAAUAUGCAUUUUUUACUUUAAUUGCCUGGUAUUAAGUUUUCUGCAGGAAUACAAAUAAAAUUGCU
rnacentral:lncRNA from 1 species